rnacentral:rRNA from 1 species
CUGGCGGCGUGCCUAAUACAUGCAAGUCGAGCGGACAGAUGGGAGCUUGCUCCCUGAUGUUAGCGGCGGACGGGUGAGUAACACGUGGGUAACCUGCCUGUAAGACUGGGAUAACUCCGGGAAACCGGGGCUAAUACCGGAUGCUUGUUUGAACCGCAUGGUUCAAACAUAAAAGGUGGCUUCGGCUACCACUUACAGAUGGACCCGCGGCGCAUUAGCUAGUUGGUGAGGUAACGGCUCACCAAGGCAACGAUGCGUAGCCGACCUGAGAGGGUGAUCGGCCACACUGGGACUGAGACACGGCCCAGACUCCUACGGGAGGCAGCAGUAGGGAAUCUUCCGCAAUGGACGAAAGUCUGACGGAGCAACGCCGCGUGAGUGAUGAAGGUUUUCGGAUCGUAAAGCUCUGUUGUUAGGGAAGAACAAGUACCGUUCGAAUAGGGCGGUACCUUGACGGUACCUAACCAGAAAGCCACGGCUAACUACGUGCCAGCAGCCGCGGUAAUACGUAGGUGGCAAGCGUUGUCCGGAAUUAUUGGGCGUAAAGGGCUCGCAGGCGGUUUCUUAAGUCUGAUGUGAAAGCCCCCGGCUCAACCGGGGAGGGUCAUUGGAAACUGGGGAACUUGAGUGCAGAAGAGGAGAGUGGAAUUCCACGUGUAGCGGUGAAAUGCGUAGAGAUGUGGAGGAACACCAGUGGCGAAAGCGACUCUCUGGUCUGUAACUGACGCUGAGGAGCGAAAGCGUGGGGAGCGAACAGGAUUAGAUACCCUGGUAGUCCACGCCGUAAACGAUGAGUGCUGAGUGUUAGGGGGUUUCCGCCCCUUAGUGCUGCAGCU